CCAUCUUGGGGGCUGGGGGCAGGGAGGGGGCUGCGGGAUGAGGGGGGGAGAGGAGCGCGGGGGGACCCUGAGGUGAAAGUGGGGGAACUGCGCGCUGUGUGAGCUGAUGGGGCCACAGGGAACAGCCCCAGGGUGCGCCAGGGAGGCUCAGGCAGAGGUUAGGGUGUAACGUGUACAAGCAUCAUGAGCUCGAUGCAGACGUGUGAUACGUUGCUGUGCUCAUCCUCAUGGCGUUCCCGGCAGCUGCAGUUUGCAUUAAUCACCCACCCUGCGUUUGGAACCUCCAGUUAGAAGCUGAGUUGCACAAGAAGGGUAAGAGGUGCUGAACACCACUCGUUUGGGAAAUUGUUUUGCAAACAUGAUUCUCAAAAAUUUUUAUACCACUUCAAGAAAGGAAUUUUGUUUAAACAUAAAAGUGAAAGGCUUACUAAUGACUGGAUAGGUGACUUUUGUGAGAGCGGACAAUCUUUACAUCUUGAAGAAGUAUUAGAAUUUUCAAAUAAUUAAAAUGUAACAAGUAUAAUUCUCUAACCGUGGGGCCAUUGAGUUGCUGCAGUUGCACGUGUCUCUGCAGGUAUAACUAAUUAAUCUGAGAGCCCCUUGAGCAGGUGUCCCUGAGGAGCAGCAGAACGCUCCAUGCAUAGGGAGCAUUUGUAGUGCAGGGCAGAGGGAUGGAGUUGGGCGGGUUGCACCACCUCAGACACUAGGUGGGGACAAAUAAGAACCCUAAAGGAAAAAAAUGCCACAUGUGGAUUAGGGAACCUUCCUGAGCCUUUCUUUAAAGUGAUUUGGAAAGGCUUCUCUCACAUCCAGCCUGCUUCCCAAAUCACUUGUAAUGGCAACAUUGCGUAAUGUGUGAGGUAGCUUCACAGUCCACCUCCAGAGCAUUUGGUAUUGCAAGUCUGAAACUUUUCAGAACAUACUGAUCCAAAUUUGAUGGAAAUCACAUCUGUUGCUCUUGGGGAAACUUCAGCUAGUUUAAGAUAAAAUACACAAAGCUUGAAUUUGGCAAUUAGUAUGGGAAACAAUGCAAGAGACUCAUUUACAUUUUAAGAGAUUGGUGAAUCACGACCCCCUCAAAAAAAAAAACACAACACCAAGCAAUAAAUAGCAGCAGCAACAACAACAGAACAACACUGCAGAUUGACUUUGUACAGGAAAAUAUUUUUAUUAGUGAAUUAUUUUUAAUUGCACUGUCACUUGAUGCUAAUCAGUGGUUCAUUAACAGUUCAAAGUAUCAAUUUAAGCCAGGUUAAAAGGCAAAUAAUUUGACUAAACAAGACAAGCUGUGGUGCACUUCCUCGUAUCUAUAAACCAAUACUGGAGGCUAUCAUAGCACACUUAAUGGUGCUAUUUCUUAGAGUAACUAAUUUGGAAACCAUCAGAAGGGCAAGGCUGUGCUGCAUACCCAUCUCCCUAACUAAUCUUAUAACUAGUGCAAAAAAGUUACAAGUUAGGUGUUAGAAAGAAGGAGAAUGCCAGUGUCCCCAUUUCAAGUUCCGUCUGAGGUCCUAUGUAAAUUGUGCAUGAUGUGCAUUAGUCCAUUUUUAUAAAUAGAUAUGUAUAGAUUUUCUUUAAGUUAGCUGUCAAGUGAUUUUAGGAAAACGAAUGUAGCAGAUCGUUUAGGGUUGAAACCAGUGCAUGCUGCAGCCAUCUUCUAGCACUUCUACCUCUGCUGCGCCUAUGUCUGAGAGGUUUCACUGCUGUCAGCACGGUUUAUCAUCAUAACUUAGUCUAACUCCGAUUUGCAGUUAACUGGGGCAUGGGAUCUGAAUUAAGAAUAAACUUCACUGUUAAAAAUUAUACACAGCAGCACAGUUUAUUUUUAUAUUUUUAACCAGUUUUAAAAGCAAACAAGUGUCAGCAACAUACAGGUUUUCCUACAGAGCUCUUUGGUUUACAGCACUAGUCUUAUCUGACAUUCAAAUUUCUCUUCAGAAGUGCAGAAACAGUUCAUUACAGUUGCAUGCAGCCCAUAUGAUGACUAGGCUUGUCUGCUUUAACAGUAAGACUGAAAAUUAACAUUAAAAAAGCAGCAAAUGGUAAAGUCUUUGUGCCCUGUACCAAUUUUUAAUGCUUCUUAAUCAUCUCUUAAGCAAGACCCGCUUUCAACCUGACAAAUUUUGACAAUCUGCUAGCAUUGCAAAGCAGUCAAGUAGUUACAAGCAGGAUAAAAAAUAAGCCUUGCUAACAAGGGGCUGCCAGACAGGUCCCAACUCCAGCCCUACAAGCCUAAACACAGAAGGUAGACAUUGAACCAAAGGGAGGCUCGUACGUGUUACGGUAACAACACAACUGCAUCAUUUUCAAGGCAACCAAGAGACUUCCUCAUUUACAUCGGACCUUACAUCUAAAAUUUUCAGCUGUGAAUAGUGACUUUGCUCUUCGGUUCCAGAAUAAGAUAGCUUAAAGAGACUUAAUGUUCAGGUUUUGGAAACUGGACCCUUUUAAGUGUUCUCAACUACACACAGGAAUUAAGACUUCCAAAAUGAAGUAACAUUAACAUUGUGCACUGUUUUUACGCUUAUCGACAUCACUAACCGGAAAUACCCAAACCCAGAACACUUUAAAUGUGAGCAGAACCAACACUUUGAAUAGAGGUACCUCAUCAGUGAUGUUAUAAGAGAUGGCACAAGACUGGACUGUAGAAGAACCAAAGGGAUUGAAGGCUGUCCUUUUUGAGCUACAAUAAUUUGUCAUGACCCUUGGCAUAAAAGCGGUUUGAUCAAUUUCCUCUAAAACUUCAUGCAAGUGUUCCUUGCCUCAGGGCUAAAUACAUGAAAUUGCAGCCCAUGCCACUUUUUUUUUUUUUAGGGAAAAAUAAAUUCAUGGAGCUAAAUUAGAUCUUCAUAGAAGUUAGUUGCAAUUUUGACUCCCUUUCAGACAUCCAAACAAGCUACUACAGGAUCAACUCAAAACAACGUGCUGGAUGUGCAAUUUUAAGGCACAAAUGAGUGUUAAAGCAUGAGAACGUGACUUUAUUCUACCUUCAGAGGGAAAGGGCUUGCAUUACUGGAUAGGAAAGGGGUAUAGAGCAGUUUGACUAAUACAGGACAACAAAACUGGUUUUGCUGGGAAAGGCAAGCUGCGUAUCAAAGUGCCUUAUUCAAUACUAAAUGAUUCUUCUCAUGCUUCAACAGAACUAAACUCCCAUCUCUGUGCCACCGUCCUCAUCUGGACCUUGAAAUGUAAGGGAUGGGCUUCUGAGAUCAGGGACAGUCACAGGUAGGAGCACCCAAGUUCUGUAGUCUUCAGUUGCUAGUACACAACAGUGCUGAAGUCCUUUCUUUGUAGAUGAUGUUCCACUACUUUUUACAGUCAUCUUCUACAUGUGUGAGCAAAAGAAAAGACUUUCAGAUUAAAAUGGGUUAGAUUUGCUCAGGGUAAGAUUUGUUUUAGGUAAGGUGCAGCGUACUGGUUUUUUAAUUUUAUACCACUCCAGACUUAAUGAAACGUGAAGCACACAAGGGCAGUUUGGCAGCUCUGCAGUGCUGUGAGGAGAUCUUCCUGAGUCCAACCUCAUGCCCAUUGUUUUUUCACUGUUCCUAAAGGAUGGGGUUUGCUUGUUUUCUUGAUUUUAAGCAAUCAUUUUCGUUGUACUAUCACAAAUAACAUUGAAUCUGUCCACAGUUCAGGGAUGCAUUUUAUACAGUAAUGUUACUGCAUUAAUAAAAGCUUACUCGAGUAGUAGCCUUACCACUUGGGGGGUAGGUAAUAGCCAGAUGAGCUUGUGUUUUCUGGUUAUUCUUCCAGUGCUUUUUCCUCACCUUCAACAGUUAAGACAUGCUCACAGACAAAUAAAAAGCCUUAAACCACUGCAACAGUUCGAGUCCCUGUUUAAUUCUGUUGGCUGUUACUUACUUUUAAAAUAGCUUCACUGUGGAAUGACAGGAAGCUCAAAUAGGCUGGUUCUGGAUUAGCUGAGCACACUUGAGAAAGCGAGUUUUAUAUAUAGCGUCUAUUUCAAGCCAUGAAGUACAGUCAUUUGCUUUGUAGAACGUGAUCCAAACCCAUGGAAUAAACCUAGUUUCAGGGUUUUUGUGCAGUCCCUAGACUUGGGUGUUUUAGGGAACCAGAAGGGGCAGAAGUGUAAAAGCCAGGAGAGUGGGGCUGGUCUUGGUUCAACAAGUUUGAGAGCUGAUGUCUGAUGAACCCUGGCCAGUUACUAGAGACAGUAUGAAAUGGCACAACAGCUGGAAUGAACAAAAGACUGUAAAGUGGAAAUAUGUUAGUUUGUGCCCAUUUUAGACAUCAGAGACCUUUAUAAUUAAUAGGACUUCAGGGGUGUUAAUCAAUGAAGUACACAUCAGCAUACCCAGAUCAAAAACUUUAACGGCCCCUACUUAACAGGAAAGAAAGCAUGCCCAGAAAGGGGAAACUAACUGUAGAUAAGAGUCAUUCAGGAUUAGAAUAAAACUGACUUACUAAAUGCUUUUUUUCUUCUGGAGGAACUUUCACUCAAAUUUACAACAUACUUGUUAAGAAAUAUUGGCUGAGACUUGUUCCUCUCCUCCUUUUGUUUGCCUCGCUCACGUUCUCCAUGCUUACCUCUCUCCUCUUUGUUUUCUUCUCUUUGGUUAUUACGGGGAAAGUUUAUUAAAUGAAGCGAGUCAUGCAGCAUCCUUUGGAAAUACCUAGAUUUAAUGUUACGCUUAGCUCUGGUCUUAGGUCAUUCAGAAUAGAUGAAAAGUCUCCGUUAUACAUUCCUCUUCUACAUUUAUGGAACAAUGUCCUGGAAAUGUUUAGCCACAGGAAGCAGCUGCCUUUCUUUGUUUCAACACCCGUCAGUACAGACAUUUAAUUUGUUAACUACUUUCACGGGAGUAAAACAGUAAUCUUGAGCUAGUGCUGGAGAAUUGACAAGAAGCAGUGAUGUAGCCUGUGCAAUGGUUGUGUUACCACCUCUGGGCUGCUGAGAGGAGCGGAAUAUUGUAAUCCGCGUAACUUGGGGGUGAUAGAGGCACUGAGUGCUACAGCACUCCCACCUCAGGAGGAAGAAAUACAUCCUCUCAGGCAUGACUCUUCAUUCAAGUAGUAACAGAUGAACUUGAAUGCCAAGAAACAUCCAUCCUUUUAGUGAAACGGACUUAGCAAAGUGGAUCUGCUUAUCUGUUGAUAAGUAAAUCUGUCUUUUGGCUAAGGGCUUGAAGUUGAACAUUUUCCCUCUACUUCAGGAGAACAUCCAAGCGUAAGUGUACCCUCAGCCAUGUAAAUACCUGUCACUAUGGCAUUUUGCAGGGUCAAGUCCCACAUGCCUCGUUCGUUAGGCUGCAUCAUUCCCAGACUAAUCAAAAAUACGUAGAAGAAAAUUGAUCUAUCACAUGAAUGAUUUGAGCAUGCACAGGACUGUUACUACCACUUCACAUGUUUACAUUUGGUUGUUGAGUGGUAGAGUUUUCAAAACAUGGUGAAAAUUAAUGCCUCUAAAUUCUUUCCCUCUGUAAAAUGUAUUUUUAUAAUAUAACAUUUACCUCAAGUUUCCACUUAUGGAAAUUACAAAUGAAUGUUUUACAGAACUACAGCUGUAAAGGAAGGGAACAAGUUAUUACUUGUCUAUGCAGCAAGUCAGUGCCCAUGCUAAGAAUAAUAAAAAACAAAAACAGGAGCAGCACCUCAUGGUCCCUGAUCAAUUUCUUCCUAGUUUUACUUAUAUAGGGAAACACUUAAAAACAAAAAAAAAACCAAAAAAAAACCAAAAAAAAACAAGGAGGCUGACAUAAAUAAAUGCUUCAAGAAGAGGAACAGAGAGAGCGGUUCUUUGAGAAAUUCUAGUGUUUAUGUUAUUAACAAGUUAUUUUCUCACAUUAAAGGAUCCAAACCAUCGAUGCGUUCAUCCAGGUUUCAGAAGAAUCCUAGAAGUUUAAACAAGUGCACUGAAAAAGUUUGUUUGUAAACAUUUAUUUUCUUGAACUGAAAAAGGCUUGCAUCAGCACACAUUGUACAGCCUUGCAAAUUACACAAAUUGAAAAAAAAAAUGUUUGUUUCAUUUUUAUGUGCAAUUAAUCUUUAAUGUCCAGUGAGCAUCUGCAAAUGAUGAAAACUUAAACCAUUAAAAAGGUUUCCAGCACUUAUCAAAUACAAUUAUCUUAGCGUGAAAAGGAAGAGAAAGAGAUUCAUACUGGUGGGAACACAAUUAAAGUGCAAACAUUUUGUCACUUGUGAAGACAAUUUAGUUUCUUCACCUUUUUGCUAAAAAGAAAUAUUAAAAUGUGAUUCAGUGAACAUUCUUUGUAAUCUAUUCAUAUUCCCCCUUAAAUACUUAUUAAACUUGUUGGAUCAGAAGCAAAUCCUUCAAGGUUACAACCAACUUCUGAUUUCUUUUGACAUUGCUUGAAUGAAUCUCAAAAGAAAACCACCAUCUAAGGAGUUAGCUAGUUACUAAAAUUAUAUUUUUUUCCUUUAAAAAAAAAACAACAAAA